UGGUUGUUUCUAUUUGUGUUCUUCUGAAUCUCUCUGAGACAUUAUAAUAACGUGUCCUCUGCCAUCCAGAGGCUCAGCGACUGAGACUUCUCUCAAUCUAGCCGUGGAAGGUCCCUGUCCUCCCUCUCCCAGAUUAAAGGGAGAAGCUUUUAGAUACAGGCGAAGCAGCCAUGCAUUAACUGCGUGACACACGGCUCUCUCUGGGCUCAGGCGUAUUGUGAUUGCCGUGGCUGAGAGGCUGCCUCUCUUUUCAGUCCAGGCCCCUUUUGGCUGCCACUGAGAUCAAGGCAUCCCAGAUUUAUGAGCAUGGCGAGAAAUGGAUGGCUAAUUCAAUCAAGUCUAUUAUUCCUCAGGCUGAGCUCUGUUAUCUGCAGCCCCUGUGCAGGCGUUUUGAUGCAUUGCUUCUCUUCUCAACACACCAGCCUUCUGAAAUCAAACAGGGCCCAAGUCAUUGUACCGUGGUGCGGCAUGGAGGCCUGGCCUCUCUUUCCCUAUUGACUGACAGCAUUCUCACUAUUCUUCCAUUGACUCUUCACAGCCAUUUUGAGGCACUUGGAGGUCGUUUGUGGACCGCACGGAAAAUGAGAAGAUCAUGGUCAAAGUCAGGACCAUACCCACCUUUGAGGUCCCAACCGGUUGAGUGAUCUCCAGCAGCUGUGACAUCAGAAAGCGAUCAGCCCCCUGCUGCAGCGGCGUGACAUGCGAGAGCUGGACGCAUGCCGACCUCACCUCUACCUCCAACCGCAGCCGCUGUUACUAUGGCAGCUCUGCGCAGACAGACGCAGGACAUCUCCAUCCAUUCUUUGCGCUGCUCACGAAAGCUGCCGGUGUCUUCUUAAACUUCUUUUUAAAGGAUCUUCCGAAGUCAAAUGGCAGCUUGGGGUGAGGAAAACACUGACAUGGCAUGAGGCACUGAUGGAAAGCUCACUACUGAUUUCAUCUGAAGCGCUGGAAGGCCAGUGUCACAUAUUAGAACGUCCCAAAGGUCACUUCAGUCACCCGAUGGAGAGCAUCUCACUGACAGAUACUCGUCCACCCACAGACAAACCUCUGUUACUUCACUCCUUUUACUGAGGUGUGCAGCUAGCAUUUCCCAGCCAUGUUUUAAAACAUAAACGUGUUUCAGCAUGAGUUUUUGGGAGGACCUGUUUGCUCUGGAAGCAUCAUCUGAUUCGAUGGACACUGGACUAUUUUUGUCAAAUAUUAUUUCACUGUUUAGUAGAAGACUGUGCUUUUAGAUUCAGCACUGCAGUAAUGAAAAAAACAAACAAACACACAAAAAAAAACCCUUUUGCUAAUGGCAGACAUCUGCUUCUCCACUCAUGAAAAUCAUUGGACCCAGCGGACCUUACUCAGGAACUGUUAAGAAGCUUAAAAUUGUGUUAACAUUUACUUUUGAGGCAUGUGUAAUAAAUGUGAAGCACCUGUUGAGGGCAGGCAUUAUUUUGUGCAUGAAUACUAAAUUGCAGGAAAUGUUCAGCUCGUGUAGAGCUAGCUCUUAUAAAAAAAAAAUAUGAUGCAGUAAUACUGUUUUCAACUUAAUAAUAAGAAAUGUUUAUUUUGUUGGGCAACGUAUCAGAAAAUUGAUUUUUGGGGGAUCUGGACUGGAAUAAUGACGCUGAAAUAUUAUUGAUA